GUUUGGUUGCAGAGGUGCUGAUGCUGCUGCAGCAGAGCUGAGGAGAGAAUCAAAUGAGCGGUCCCAACAUGACGGGGAGGACAGGUCUCCUCUUCAGCCUCAUCACAGCGGCACUUUUCUGUGGCGUCGCUGCUCAGACAGUCAGAGAGUGUGAAAACGUCACCGUCGGUGACAUCGUCUUCCUAGUUGAUGGCUCGUCCAGCAUCGAUGAUAAAAGCUUUCAGGACAUCCGCACAUUUCUCCGCAACACCAUCCAGAGCUUUGAAAUCGACC